rnacentral:lncRNA from 1 species
AAUAUAAUUUUUGUUUAAUAAUAAAUUAAUAUCGGAUUAUUUUUAUUGUUACAAAAUAUGAAUUACCUUUAGCUAAACAAUACUUAUUUUUUGUAAGUUUAUUUACAUUAAUAUUUCGUGACAUAUGCAUCCUUCAAAAACAAAGGAAGCGCAUGAACUGAGUGUAUGCGUAUAGGUAUAUGUAAGCUUACGUACAUACAUACGUAUAUAUAUGCGUCGGUUUGCUUUUAAAAUUUAUAAGUACAAUGGUAUCGCAAUUUUUAACUAUAUAAUUACACGUCGUUGACCACUUAUUUUUUAUUUUUGCAUUUUUCAAACGAAUUUUUUCAUAUUUAAAAAAAAGUAAACCACGCAACAGUGAUCCAAAAAUGAAAAAAAAGUCUUUGAAACACAUUAAACAGAAAAUAAUAGGGAAUAAAAAGAAAGGACAUUUUGUUUCUUUUUAUAAUAAAAUACAACAAAUUCACGAAACAGAUAAAUUACAAACACAAAAUGAAUUCAUCGAUAGCAACUACGACCACUGCCUAAAGUUUAACCAAAAAAAUGAAAAGGAUGAAGAAGUUUUAAAACACACCAACUUCCAUCAAGCGCUAAAGGAAUACCCCAAAAACAGCUUCAACAGUAACUUCAAAGCUUGUUGCAGAAAGCUAUUGCCUUUGUCAAAUAACUUAAUGAUUAUUAUAUUAAAAAAGGACCAGAUAUUUAAUACUCUUUUAAUGUAUAUAAAAAAGUGCCAAGGUAAGGACGAUGAGUUUUAUUUUUUUAAAUUACUUAUUUUGUUAGUAAAGGAUUUGAAAGAGGAGAGUAGAAAAUAUAUUAGUAAAAUUUUUAAAACAUUAUUUUCGAAAAUAAGUUUUAAAAAUUUAGAGUUAGUGGAACAUAUUUUUAACGCAUAUGCAAAUAUCGUUCGUAUUUUGAAUAAAAGUAUUAUUAAAAAAUUGGAUAAGUAUAUAAAACUAUUUUUACCUUUAUUUUAUCAUAGUAACAAUAUAAUAAAGCUUUUUUUUUCGGACAGUUUUGCUUAUUUAUUACGUAAAACAUCAUUACAUGAUUUUACAGUAUGUUAUCAAAAACUCUUUUAUUUUUUUGAUUAUGUACCUAUAAAGAAAUUAAAAAAUUAUGCAGAAACAGUUACAUUAUUAAUUUUAGAAUCGUUAAAAAUCAAUAAUGACAAAUUAAGUCCAAAUGUUUUACCCUUUUUAAAAUAUAUAAUUUAUGUUAUUUUUUUAAAAAAAAAAUAUUAUUGCAAAGAAACAGGUUAUUGUUAUGAUCCUUAUACAAAUAUUACACAAAUAGAAAAUUUAAAAAAAUGUCUUACGUUUUUUUUUAUUGAUUUAUAUAGUUUUACAAAAAAAAAAAAUUUCGAAUUUGUGGAAAUUUUUUUGACUUUUAUUUUAAAACAAUAUUCUUUAUUAUUUGACCAAUAUGACAAGGAAGUAGUGUGUUUAUUAAAAAAUGAAAGUAUAAAAAACUUAUUACUGAGUCAACAAAAUGCAUCUUUUUUUUUUACAACACAAGAUGGGGAUGAUAAUAUGUAUGAUAACAUAUAUGAUGUUGUAUAUAAUGAUAACAGCUGUAAUAAUGAAUGUUUAUUAAAACAUAAAC